CACAUCCUCUGUGGCAGCCUUCAAAGAGUGCCCUAGACUGCCACUCUCACCUGGGUUCCUCUGAGCUGUAACUCAAGUCAACAGUUUCUGAAUCUGAGGUGGAGAUGCGAAGCUCUAGCCUAGAGAGCGCUCCGGGGGACGACGGGAUACCUAAUCAAGCAAAUCCAAGAAAAUGCCCCUUGCCCCUCCACUGCCCUGUGAAGCUCAGGGCAAAACUAAAGUCUGGAGCCAUCUGCCUGCACCUGACAGGCUGUCCAGUGUGCCGAGUUAUUUGUAUGAAGACCGUGAAGGUUUUUCUGUUGUUGGGACUGAACUGCCUUUCUUCAGGCCUGGCAGCAAGCACCUGUACCCAGUGAGUUGUUCCAUCAACCAUCACUGGGGAUCCUAAGAGUUAAGGCCGUGGAGAAUAUCGUUGAUAUUUGCUCUGGUUUGCAAGGCCUUGAAAAGGCUGGUUCCUAGCCAGUCAAAUCCUACCCGACGUGUGCUGGAAUCACCUGCAGAUCUUGUAAUAGGGGAGGAAGGCCUCCCCACCCCACCCCCCAGCUGAACCCGAGCUCGGCCAUUUCAAUGUGCUGAGUCACCUAGUCUUCUCAGGGUCAGACACUUUCACCCAGGAAAAGUCCUGCAGAGAACCACGGCGGGGAGCUUCGAGCUGGAAGCUGCUUGGUCUUUUUCCACAAGGUGACUCUAGAAGGCCAGCGUUUCCUUCUGAUGGCUUCGAGUAGGAAUGGGAACAACGGGUCUCUCCAAGCACGGGCAUACUGAGAACCGCAGUCCUGGGACCAACCAGCGCCUGCAAAGGACCAGAAGCAGCUACUGGCCAGCGGGUGCCUCCAUCCCGCGUGCCGCACUGGCGAUGGGUGCUUUGUGUUUCACUCCAUCCUCUUGUGUCCCGUAAAGGAGGAAUUGUUGUUUUUCAGCCUCCUGGAGCAGCCGCGCCUUCCCACAGCACUCAGAGUUGAUAAAGAGUAAGAAAUGGAGACCAGAGAGGGUGACCCGCACCCUGGUGACUAAGCCCUCUAGAGGCUGCCUCCACUCUUAGAAAAGUGACCAGUCACCAGCAAGUCAUGUUAAGAACAGGAAGAAUGUCGCCAGCUGAAUGAAGUUCUUGCUUUCCCUGGUGAACAAUGAAGGGGAAAGGGUGGAGUGGGGUGAAAGAGAGGGCAAAAGGGAUGCCAGUGUCCUUUUUGUCCCUGGCGCGCCGCCACCCCUCAGCCCAGAAAGAUUUCAAAUACUUUCCUGGAAGUGGCAGCUAAGGAUAAAACGAGAUGACUUGGCUGCCUAUCAUGGUCUUUACCUAGUUAUAUCGAUGGAUAUAAGAUAAUAUGGCAUUUAAAAAACAAAGACAGGGCCAGUAAGAUGGCUCAGCGAUUAAAGGUGCCCACUGCCAAGGUGAGUUUCUUCACCGGGACUUAUGCAGUGAGAAGAAUGGAUUCCUGCAUGCUGUGUGCUGAUGUCCACAUACACGUUAGGCCUCCUAAUCUAACCUUUUCUAUUCCUUACUCUGCCUGUGACUAGACCUGGAAGGGGCUAGAGAACAAGGAUCUUCCUGAGACAAAGCAAGGACCCAGAACUACCCAGAAUGCAUCAGGGCGGUACAGCACCGCAGACCUAUUACCUAACCUGCAAAGUGGGUUUUCUAUUUCCACUGCCUGAGAGGGGUCAGGUAAGAAUAGCUCAGAGACUGAGCACAGAGGGGGCACCUUGUACAGGACUGGAGGUUGCUCUGGGGUUUGGGGUCACAAGCUUGAUAGAAACUGAGACUAGAGUGGAGAUAAAAUGUGGCUGAGUGAGGCAGCUGUGGGAAUACUCUGGUAGAGACAAGGAAACGGUUAAAGACAUUGCCUCUGGCAAAACUUAGGAAGAUCCAGGAAGUCUUGUGGCUAAGCCCAGUGAGUGUGGCCCAAGAGGUGAAGGGUCAAGCUGGUUAGGAUGGAGUUUCCUGCCAGAAGCCAGGGCUCACAGGUGCUGGGUGAAGGCCGUCCACUGUACUUUGCUUUCUAAAAAAAAAUUAAUAACAUCUAUUAGGAGCUGGAGAGACUGCUCAGUGGUUAAGAGCACUCGUUGCUCCUAUAGGGUGCCUAGGUUCAGUUACUAGGACCCACAUGGUGGCUCAGAGCCAUCCAUCCAUAACUCCAGUUCCAGGCAAUCCAGUGCCCUCUUUGGGUACCAGGCGUGCAUUUGGGUACAAAGACAUAUGUGCAAGCCAACCAGCACUUACAUACAUAAAAUAAAUUAAAGAAAGAAAAGCAUUUAUUUGUGUGUAAGUGUGUGUGAGUGUGUGUAUGUGAAAGAGUGUGUGUAUGUGCAUGCAUGUGUGUGUAUAUGUGUGUGAGUGUGUGUAUGUGAAAGUGUGUGUGUAUGUGUGUGUGUAUAUGUGUGUAGCUUGUGUAGAUCAGAGGACAACCUGCAGGAGUCCAUUUUGUCUUUCCACCUUUAAAUAGGGGAGGAAAGAGAUGGACACAGCAUGAGGAAAGUUCAAAAAAAUUGCUCUGGGCAUGGGCGAAUGGCUUAGUAGUAGGUAAGUGUUUGUCUCAUAAGCAUGAGACCUGAGUUCAAAUCCCUAGCACCCAUGUAAAAAGCUGGGCAUAGCUGUGUGUCGUGUAACUCCACUGUGUGGAGGUCGGGGGAGGGGAGGACAGCCAUAAGCUGAGGACGGUGGUGGGUGGGCAGUUACUCACUGGCUUAUCCAGCCUGCAAAAUAGCAACCUUCAGGUUCAGGUGGAGCGGUGGUUCUCAACGUUCCCAAUGCUGCAACAGCCCUUUAAUGCAGUUCCCCAUGUUGUGGUGACCCCCAGCCAUAAGAAAUAUUUUUGUUGCUUCAUAAUUGUAAUUUGCUACUGUUAUGAAUCAUCAUGUAAAUAUUUUUGGAGAUAGAAGGGUUGCUAGAGGGGUCGCCAUCCACAGGGUGAGAACCACAGAACUGGAGCCUCUGUCUGAGGAGAAGAAAGUAUUGAGUGCAGGGCAGGAGACCUGACCCCCUCCUCUGUGCUCUGGAGGCACAUGUGUGGGUACCCACACCCUACAUCCAUGCGUGUUUUCUCUGUCUCACUGCUCCGACUACUGUGAGAAGCUGGGCAUAGUGGCCGAUGCCUAUUUUAAUAUCCAAACCCGAGAGGCAGGGGUGAGGUUGUAAAUUCCAGGACAGCUCAUAUAGGCUACUGGGUGAAACCCUGCUUAAUUUGUUUCCCUCACACAGGGUUUCUCUGUGUAGCCUUGGCUGCCCUGAAACUCACUCUGUAGACCAGGCUGGUCUCAAACUCAGAGAGCUGCCUGCCUCUCUGCCUCCCGAGUGCUGGGAUCAAAGGCAUGUGUCACCACUAACACCCAGUCUGUUUUAACUUUUAAAAGAGAUUUAUUGCUGUUUUAUGCUUGUGGAUAAUUUUCCUGCAUGGAUGUCUGUGUAUGCUUAGUUUUUAUGGAGGCUAGAAGAGGGUGUCUGAUCCCCUGGAAUGAGAGUCACAGACAGUUGUACGGUUGUGAGCCACCAUAUGGGUGCUGGAACUCCAGGUCCUCUGGAGAAGCAGCCAGUAUUCUUAACAGCAGAGCUGCCUCUCCACACCUGAGACCCUACUUAAAACAUUUAAACUGAAGCCAUUGUUCUCUCCUCACACAACCACCAAAAGCAACAAGAAAGUGAGACAUCGGCAGAACCUUGAAAAAAGGGUGAUGGCUUCGGCCAGGGCUCAGGACGAUUAGGGCAGAUUCUGGACCUGCACAUAGAACCAACAGGUAUUAUGUCCUAGCGGGAUGCAGAGUCGAGAGGAAAGAACAAGCCGAGAAUCUCUCUAGUUCUGGCUAAGCAUUUGGGUUGGCAGGAAAGGCACAAGUUGGUGCCUACCUGUAUCCACUCAGUACCCAUGGAGACCAGCACACGGGGAGGGGGAGGGGCUGAUGUAAUGACACAUGGUAGAAACCACCAGCACAUAACCACAGCGAUCCUAAAGGGGGCACUUGCUGCUUGCUAAGAGCGGGGUCAAAGGGCAGAACUCUGAGGCACACCAGUGCUCAAAGCUCUAGAAGAGGUGUGAUCAGCGGGUGGGUGCUCUUGAAGUAAGGCAUCCAGUGGCCAUUUUGGGGGCAUUCACCAGGCUGUGGACCGGGAAAGAAUUCUAGGUGAGGAAAGUAAUGAGCUUAAGGAUCCAGAGCUAGGAAAGCCUCGCUUGGGAGGAGAGAGGAGGUACCAGGAGGUACCGGAAGCUGAGGAGGGGAGAGGAGGAACGUGGUUGGAGAUGAGGCUGAAAAUGCGCUUCUGUGCCUGUCAACUGAAAACCGAGUUCAUUUCCUGACGAAGGUAAGGAUGAUGCUGGCUACAGCUUACUGAAGACUUUGCUCUGACGCGUUCAAGCUAGCUCCUCUGUAACGCCUGUCGCAUGUAUACGUUGUUCAGUUAAGUAUGUGCCGAGUGAAAAAAAGGCUUGUUGAGGUCUUCAGCCUCCCGCCUGGUAACAUUACCGAUGUUACCUCCCUCAGUCUUUACACAUUAAGUUUUAUUUUUUAAAGAUUUAUUUAUUUUAUUUAUAUGUGUACACUGUAGCUGUCUUCAGACACACCAGAAGAGGGCAUCGGAUCCCAUCACAGAUGGUUGUGAGCCACCAUGUGGUUGCUGGGAAUUGAACUCAGGACCUCUGGAAGAGCAGUCAGUGCUCUUAACCACUGAGCCAUCUCUCCAGCCCACACAUUAUGUUUUUUUUUUUUUAAACUACAGUAGUAUUGAGAUGCCAAAUCUUUUAAAUUCAGACUCCAUUCUAGAGAACCUGACCUACGUUUGAACUCAGGUAAACUAACAGGCUGGUACCUAACAUUAGUUUCUAAGUUGCACCUCCCACCUCCCCGGGCUAAUCCUCAGCAAGACAGAAUUUCCAGGUUACACCCUCAACAAGACCAGCAUCUUCAGGUUAUUCCCCCAACAAAACCUGCACCCCCAGGUUACAAGCCCACCUCUUACCUAAUAACCACCAAUGCAGAGGAGAACAGAAGUUUAGUUUAUGAUAUGACUCCCAGCACCAGCCAAUUACGUUAAAGGCCACAGUAGCUCUCCAAUUAGAUGCUUGCACAUGUACUCCCUGCUUGCUGCUUACUAUAAAGCCUUGCCCCAUAGACAUUUGGGGCUUCCCCACCCCAAAACCGUCCUGCAUGUUGGUGGUGCAUGAAGGGGCACGGGCUAGACCAAAUAGAAUAAAGACUCUGCCAUGAGUAGCAUCAGAUCGGCUCCUGUCUGUUUUCUUGGGGUUCACUAACAUUUCUCUGGCACAAUAGUAUAGGAGAAACAGCAAAGAGAAGCAAAGAGACCUGGCUUCAAACAAGGGAGAAGGAGAAGGCUGAUAUCCAAGUUACCCUCACACACACACACACACACACACACACACACACACACACACUGUGGCAUACAUCUGUGGGAGCAGAUGCUUACAUCUCAUACACAUCAUACACAUACACAAACAUAUCAUGUAUACAUAGGCACAUAACACAUCCACAUGUAAAUAUAUCAUGUAUUCUUCUACACAGACAAGGAGAGAGAAAUGUAGCUAUAUUACCCUGGGUCAGAGGGUCAAGGAUUUAACUAAAGAUUACUUCGUGAGGUAGAUCUCUGUGAGUUCGAGGCCAGCCUGGUCUACAUAGUUCCAGGACAGCCAGGGCUUCAUAGUAUGACGCUGUCUUUAAAAAAUAAAAAGUCUACCUUUAACACAGGUGGCUUCACUUUGGCAUCUCUCAUUUUAACUCCAAACUGUAUUUUCUCUUGGAGGCUAGCACUUCUUCCCGGGACCCUGUGUGCUUUUCCUGGAAAGGCUCUGACUCUGUUCUUUCUCACUGGAGGGUUGGUCCCUACAGGGGUUAGGGCUGCUCUGUAACCUUAGCCAGGACACUGGCUUCCUGGAUAGGCUUGGAUAUGGUGUUGAUCUGGGAGCAGGCUAGUGAGUUGAGUUAACCUGAGACUUGCUGAAGGUCUUGUUGUGCCUUGGGCUAUCUCAAGAAGCCCAAGUAAUUAAAUCAGCAGUUCUGGUGGAGGAAGCAAUUUUCAGAUCUCCAGUGUCCAGAUAGAUAUCCCUUUUCUGAAAUGAGACUUCAUCGCCACACCCCAACCAGGAACAAAUUCAUACCCACUUGACAGGAAGCACAUUCAGUACGUCCCUUUCCAAGUCAAGCAUCCAUCUGCUUCCAAUCCACUGGAAGAGAUGGCUUUGCAGUGCCAUUUGAAAGUUGUGACUUGCGAAGGGGUUAAACAGUUCCUGUGACAUUGCUCUAUCCAUGAUGCUUCCAUUCGUCCCCAUAUUUAAGAGAGAACGUCUCAAGGAUGACAUUUGUAAGUGAAAUUUCUGACACAGUUAUACUAAACGGUCCCUAAUAAUCUCUCCAGAGACCCAGGUACUCACCAUAAGAACUGUGCUGAAUCCAGUUUAGCCUGUUAAAGAAUGCAUUUCUCAGGCUAGAGAGAUGGCUCUUGCUUUGCAAAUCUGGUGAUCUGAAUUCAAUCCCCAGAAACCAUACAGAGAAGGAUGAAGCAACUCCUGAGGUAAUCUACCCUCUGACCUCCACAUGCAAGCCAUGUGGCAUAAGCACCCCCCCCACAUGCACACAUAUCAUGCACAAACACACAAUAAAACCUUAACAACAAAAAGAGCAUUUCUCAUGUGGGAGGCACAGGCAGGUGGUGUCUCUGUAAGUUCAAGGCCAGCCUGGUCUAGAGACCCUGUCUCAAACAAACAAAUGAGUAUUUCUCAAUAAGCUGUCAUACCCUUUUCUUUCUACACACACACAAACACACACACGCAUGUAUGUAGGUAUUGUGUGUACUUUGAUGCCAAUGAUGAAACCAGGACCUUGUUCAUGCUGGGAAACUCGAUAGCUCUGAGUCACGAUCCCAGCAGUUAUCAGACUUUGGUUUUGUUUUGUUUUUUUUUUUUUUUUGGUUUUUUUUUUUCGGAGCUGGGGACCGAACCCAGGGCCUUGCGCUUGGUAGGCAAGCGCUCUACCACUGAGCUAAAUCCCCAACCCCGUUAUCAGACUUUGUAAUAUGUCUUUGAUUAGUUGUGUACUACUGAUAGUGGGGGUUUACUAUGAGCAGAACAUUUUUUCGGUAUAUAUGUGUGUGAAUGCUUUGCCUGCAUUUGCGUGUGUGCGCACCACAUGUGUGUCUGUUGGAUGCCUUAGACCUGGAGUUAUGGGUGGUUGUGAGACACCAUGUGGAUGCUGGGGAUUGAGUCUAGGCCCUCUGCAAGGGUAGCAAGUGUCCCUCUUUAACUGCUGAGCCACCUUUCCAGCUCCAAAGUCCUAUCUUUGAACAUUUACUUUUAUUCUUUGAUUUUAUGCGUAUAGGUGCAAGUCUAUACCAAGUGCACACCUAGUUCCCUUGCAGGCCAGAAAGGGGGCGUCAGAUCCCCAGGAACCAUAGUUCCAGAUGGCUGUGAGUUACUGUAUAGAUGCUGGGGAAUCGAACCUAGGUCCUCUGGAACAGCUGCCAGUACUUUUAACUACUGAGCCAUCUCCCAAGCCCCCUGUAUUUUUGAAAAAGGUCUUACUCUGUAACUAAGGACAGCCAGGAACUCACUAUGUAGCCCAGGGUGACCUGGAACCUCCAGAGUGCUUGGAUUUUUGCUACAAGCUGUCACAUCUGGAUUUUAAAAUUUUAGUCAUGUUCGUAGUUGGUGGGUUUGAUUUUGCUAUAGUUUUGGUUUUGGUCUUAGAAACUUGCUGUGUACCUUGGGCUGAUGGUUACGGAAUUCUCUCUCCUGCUUUAGCACUUCCUCAGUGCUUCGAUUGCACGCACUACUACACCGAACCACAGAAAGGAUAUGAAAGAAAAUUACCCAUUAAGUACCAUUAAAAAUUUAAUUGAUUAUUAGUGUGAAUGUGCAAAAUAUGGGGUGUUUGUGAGCAUGAGCCUGCACAUGUAACAUUGUGUGUGUGGACGUCAGAGGACAGCCCUCCAGAGUUGGUUUUCUCUUCCCAUCACAUAGAGGUCAGGGUCACUUGUUUCCGUCGCGCUGCAUGCUCCAGUCUCCCUGGACAAUUUUGUCUCCGUCUGCCGUCUGACCCUAGGAGUGCUGUGAUGGCAGGCCUGUGCUGUGGUAUCUGGAAUCGAAUUCUGGCCCUUGGGUUUACACAUAAGCACUUUUACUAGCUAAAUCAUCUGUCUGUCUGUCUGCCUGUCUGUCUUUUGAGACAAGUCUCAUGUAGCCCAACCUGGCCUGGAAUUCUCUAUGUAACUGCAAGUGACCUUGACUUUCUGAGCCUUUCUCCGCCUUCAUGUACUAGGAUUACCGAUGUGUGUACCGCCAUAACUAGUUUAUGAGGUAAUGGGGAUUAAUCUCAGGGCUUGAUAUAUGCUAGGUAUCCACUAUCUACUUAUAUAUAUAUACUGUAUAUAUACAGUAAUAUAUUACUGUAUAUAUAUUAAUACAGGCUUAUGCUCACAAACACCACAUAUUUUGCACAUGCACACUAAUAAUUAAUAUACACAUAUACAUAUAUACAUACAUGUAUAUGUAUGUAUAUGUGUAUAUAUAUAUAUAGUCUUAAGAUAGAACAGAAAGACAUCAAAUAUCCAAGAAAAUAAAAUUAUAAAAAAUAAGAAGGUAGAAUAGAGAGAUAAAAGACAGGUAGUGUGGUGGUAACUCCAGGAAGUGGUAUAAAGGGCGCUGUCCCUAUGCUGACCAUGAUGUGAACAUGUUUACAGGUCAAAGGUGAAAAAGCCGGUGCGGAAGGGUGAAGGGCGGAGAACCAGCCCACUUCUGCAGCAUGCGAAGUGUGCUGUCAGGCUCGGAAUCCUUGCUUCAGAACUGUGGCCCCAGUGUCCCAGCAAGCUGGGAAUUUUACUCAGUGUUUCUGCAGGAAUUUUACAGGAAUGUCUCAUUCAGGCAAUGAGCCACUAUUUUCUGACACACAGUUUCCAAAACUGCUUAUUUCUACAUAGCUUUUUUUUUUUUUUUAUGUUGCAGAUGUUUAAACCUCAGACAGGAUAGGGCUGGGGCUGGGGCUGGGCCAACAACUUGCUCAACAUUCUUUUGAGUCUGACUGGCUGGUGGAGCGUGAGUGUGGCUCCCUAAUUUCUUGGGUCAGGCUGAAGAAGCACUUUUAAGGUAAAAUAUUUUUCCUGGCAUUCAUUCUUGAGGAUGAUGCUGGCGGUUACUAACCGGUCCACCUCAAAUCUGAAGAGGGGCAGACAGGGGAAGGGGGCGGAGUUGCCUCACGUCCAGCUGCUGCAGGAUGGAGAAGGGCCUGGGUGUGUGCACAGCUGCGGGGCUCAGGUAUAGGUGGUCCAGUGUGCCCUGGAAGGCCCUGAGGAAUGUCCCAGUAAGCAAGGCCCAUUCUCCACAGACUCUGUACUGUUACUUCAGUUUGCUCCAAUUUUAUUUCUUUAUUUUUACGAUCUUAUGAAAUGCUGUCGACCAGAACUGCAGCAAUAAAAAGAGAAGAAAGGAAGUAUUUGGAAAUGUUAAGAGAGACCCGUGGUUGGGCUGAAACAUCUUGCAUUAGUCACUGCUGCCGUGGGAAGCCAAAGACUGUGAAAUGUAUCUUUUUGCAUUUCUUUCAUAUUUAGAGACGCUGCCCUUUUCAAGAUCCCAUUGCGCAUGGCAAGGGGGUUGUUAGGGAACUGGCUCUCUCCUCCAGAUAUGUGUGUGUGUGUAUUUCUGGCUAAGCUUUUAUGCUAAUGCUUUGAGGAACGGACUAGGUUGUCCCGUAGCCAGGUAGGGAUGUGGUUCCAGCUAGAUGUGCCUGAAGAUCCUCUGUCAUCAGUGAGCCAUUUUCCAAGAUCUACUUUGGUGUGAGCCCUCCAAAGAAACAAAGGCUUUUACCUUUGAGUCUGUGCUCAUAUUUAAUGUUGUUGUGGUGGGGUUUUCUUUUUUUUCUUUUUUUUCUUUUUUUUUUUUUUUUUUUGGUUCUUUUUUUUCCGGAGCUGGGGACCUAACCCAGGGCCUUGCGCUUCCUAGGCAAGCUCUCUACCACUGAGCUAAAUCCCCAACCCCGUGGUGGGGUUUUCUUAACCUGUAUGCUUCAUACAUACAUUCAGCCCACGAGGCUUAAAAGUAUCAUGAGACUCACAUAGUUAACAUACGUGGAUUUUCUUCCUAUAGCUAGCUUCCUCUUGCCAUUGCAUGAGGUAUUGUAAGUUAACUGGAUGUGACAAAGUGUUGGUGGGUGCAAGUUCAGGUUAAACACCGUGUCGUUUUAUCGGAGGGAUUUGAGCUUCCGUUAAUCUGACUUCCUUGGGAGUCCGGGAGCCAACGCCAUACAGGCCAGACACCCAGAAACAGCUGCAAUUUUAUUCAGGUUUCCCUGUGGACACAAACAUCCAUGGCCUGUCCCUUUAAACAGCUGUCUGUCCCUUUCCGGGUUUCUGCGGGCUCUUGAAUUUUUGAGACCCUGUGGGCUCAGGAGGGAAAAGGUCCCGUUUUCCCUGACCUCUAACUGCAGCGCGGUAUAAACUUCAUUCGUGACUGGCGACAAAGCUUCGGAAUGUUAACUGGACCCACAACUGUCGCCGGGAAGAGUCACACAUUUUCAGAUUACACUACAGGUGCUUUAUCUACUCUGUCCGGUUCCCCCCCCCCCCCAGCCUCCGCUUAUUUGUUAUAAAUAACAAAUUCAUUCGUGAUAAUAAAAAAAAAUCGUAUGUUUUGAAAGGUGUUUGUAACACGAAACUCAUAAAGGGGGCGCAGGUUGUAGGGAAGCAUGGCUCAGCACGUGGCCGGAGUGCUUUCCAGCACAGCCCGCUCUUAUCCUCAGGGCUAAAUCUGAGCUCAUUUGAGAAUAUUUUGGACCUGGAAGGAGGCGAAAAUAACCACUGCAGCUUACCAAGCCUUUGAAAGCACAGGCUGGUGGGAAGGCUCUGCCUGGUCAAGUGUUCUGAAGGCACUCUUGUUUUCCCGUCAUCUGUUUUCCCGACACCCUCCUCACUCGGUAGAUAAGGGACAAACUUAUUUCCCAUGUUGCAAAAAUAGGAAAUGAGGUAUAGGGAGUCUUGGGAGAAUUAUUACCCAAGAUCGCAGUGAGUCAGAGGCUUUUUGAGUACCACAGAAGCCCUGGCUCCCUGAUCAUGACCCCUGAUUUGCUCUGUGCAGGCCUUGCGGUUUUAGAGAAAAAUGUAGUCAUUUCACUUUCGCUUUUGUCCCAGUUUGGUUACAAUACAAUCCUCAGUUUAGACCAAUAUAGGAAUUAUUUUUUUUUAACUUUUUCCUUCCCUCCCCACCCCCCACCUCCCCAAACACAGACUAUAUAAUCCUGGUUGGUUAGACUGGACUUGAACUCACAAAGAUCUUCAUGCCUCCUGAGUGCUGGGAUUAGAGGCAUGUGUCAACAAGCCAUGUUUUUGUCCUUGUUUGCUUGUUUUUGAGACAGGCCUCCUGGAGGCAAAGCUGACUUCUAGCCAGCUGAGUGAUCCGAGCUGAUCCUCCUGUUUUUACCUCCUAAGGAUAUAAUUACCGUAAGCCCGGUUCAUGCAUGCUGGGGACCGAACCCAGGGAACCCAGCGAACCCAGCCGGGCCAGCUCUUAUGCACUCUCUCUCUCUCUCUCUCUCUCUCUCUCUCUCUCUCUCUCUCUCUCACAGGUGCCUGUGUGUGUAAGAACUAACUAAGCUACAUGCAACCCCAAGUGCCAAGUGAAGCAGGUUUUUUUUUUUUCCCUUUCUUUCUUUUUAGGAAUUUCUUCUUUGAGGGAAAAAAAAUAUGGUUGAUAUUUCAGUUGAAUCUAAUUAAUCUAAUUAAUGCCCUUUGGGUGCCAGCCUCUUUUCUAGGCACAGAGGAGACAAUGAGUCAAUUAACCCCAAGGUUACUGUGGAGGAGGGGAACUAAAGGAGCAAACUAAACUUCAGUUUUCAAGGUCAUGGGAGUUUGGAGGUCCUGGGCUUAGCUAAGUGGCAGGAGCCAGGGGCGCCUCUCCUGUGCUCCUGCCCACCUCCAGCUUGCUCAGCUCAGUCUCAAGCGUUGUUAUCAGAGACUAUACCAGUCGGCUCAUUACUCCUGUGCGUUUCCAUUUCCCUGACUUCCGGAAUUCUCAAGCCAGAGCGGAAAUGACUUCAUCAGCUCUGUAAGCCUGCUUAUUAAAAUGGCGCUGGGUUCACAGCACUCGCCCUGUCGGUUGCUGAAUGAGCUGCUGUGUUUCUCCCAGGCCCGGGGCGCACAGAUGCUGCCUUCUCUGUCACAGCUCGAAUGAAUCGAAGAUUCUUGCAGACUAAAUUACUAAAUUCUGGAUGUCAACCCCUUGCUCAAGGGAAGAAAGCGCUCUAUUUGUAUUCAUAGAUUACAUGAAUGAGUACCAUUUGGAAGCUCGUGUCCUCACUCUGGUAACGCUUUCCAUCGCUAUGCACCAACAUUUUAAGUUCAAGCGUAUCGUGUUCGGGAUGGGACGAAUGUGCCGGGUGCCCUGGACCAGUUGCUGCUCCUUAUGGAGUCUGUCACUCACACCAUAAAGGAGGAAGCCAGGAGAGCCAUUCUGGGGAGUUCUAAGAUGCUCAGAGGACUGAGUAGGCCUCUCUUCCCAGACAUGGGGGAAAAUAACUUCAUUUUGGGAUGUAGGAGAGAAAGUCUCCAAGUUUGGAGAUCACUGGAGAACAAUCAAAACAUCUUAGCAGCUGGGGUACAACGCUUGCUUGGCACUUAAGGAAGACCUUAAGCGCUAGAGAAGACACUGCCAGAGGCAGACGAUGGCUCUGUGUAGCCUUCACUGUGUAGAGCUCACCUGUUUCUGAUGGGGACACAACCCAGAAUCCCUAGGAGCCCUUCCCAUUCAAUUACCCCAGAAAUGCAACUCGAUGGGACAAGGUUAAAGAGUUUUAUUUUUCUUCUUUUCUUUCAGUAGUUGACCACCAGAUUUGAACCAAAAAAAAAAAAAUCAUUUAGUGUGAAAGAAUAAAAGAAAAAAAAAUUCCAAGAAUAAUCUUGCAUUUAAAUUAUUGUUCCAGAAUGUAUGAUUUAUUUGUACUGAUUUUUUUCACCCACAGCACAAAAUAAUGAGGUUUCUUUGCUUGGGUAUACCGAUGGACUUUGGGCUAUCCGUAUUUGUCCACAAAAAUCUAUUGUGGGAGUUGGAGAGACGGCUCAGUGGUUAAGAGAACUUGUUCUUGCAGAAGUUCCAGUACCGGCAACCAAAUAGCACCUGACAACUGGCCAUAACUCCAGGUCUAAGGAAUCCAAUACCCGCUUAUGACCUCCAAGCACACCAGGCAUGCGUGUGGUGCACAGGCAUAUACGCGAGGAAAACACUCAUAGACAUAAACUAAAUAAAUCUUUUAAAAAGGGCUUUAUUAAACAUA